GGUUUGUCGCGUUGUUCGUGAAAUCUCACGGCUUAACUGUGAGCGUGCGGGCGAUACGGGCAGACUUGAGUACUGCAGGGGAGACUGGAAUUCCGGGUGUAGCGGUGGAAUGCGCAGAUAUCAGGAGGAACACCGGUGGCGAAGGCGGGUCUCUGGGCAGUAACUGACGCUGAGGAGCGAAAGCGUGGGGAGCGAACAGGAUUAGAUACCCUGGUAGUCCACGCCGUAAACGGUGGGUACUAGGUGUGGGUUUCCUUCCUUGGGAUCCGUGCCGUAGCUAGCGCAAUUAAGUACCCCGCCUGGGGAGUACGGCCGCAAGGCUAAAACUCAAAGAAAUGCACGGGGGCCCGCACAAGCGGCGGAGCAUGUGGAUUCAUUCGAUGCAACGCGAAGAACCUUACCUGGGUUUGACAUGCACAGGACGCCGGCAGAGAUGUCGGUUCCCUUGUGGCCUGUGUGCAGGUGGUGCAUGGCUGUCGUCAGCUCGUGUCGUGAGAUGUUGGGUUAAGUCCCGCAACGAGCGCAACCCUUGUCUCAUGUUGCCAGCGGGUAAUGCCGGGGACUCGUGAGAGACUGCCGGGGUCAACUCGGAGGAAGGUGGGGAUGACGUCAAGUCAUCAUGCCCCUUAUGUCCAGGGCUUCACACAUGCUACAAUGGCCGGUACAAAGGGCUGCGAUGCCGCGAGGUUAAGCGAAUCCUUUUAAAGCCGGUCUCAGUUCGGAUCGGGGUCUGCAACUCGACCCCGUGAAGUCGGAGUCGC
rnacentral:rRNA from 1 species